rnacentral:rRNA from 1 species
GACGAACGCUGGCGGCGUGCUUAACACAUGCAAGUCGAACGGAAAGGCCCUGCUUUUGUGGGGUGCUCGAGUGGCGAACGGGUGAGUAACACGUGAGUAACCUGCCCUUGACUUUGGGAUAACUUCAGGAAACUGGGGCUAAUACCGGAUAGGAGCUCCUGCUGCAUGGUGGGGGUUGGAAAGUUUCGGCGGUUGGGGAUGGACUCGCGGCUUAUCAGCUUGUUGGUGGGGUAGUGGCUUACCAAGGCUUUGACGGGUAGCCGGCCUGAGAGGGUGACCGGCCACAUUGGGACUGAGAUACGGCCCAGACUCCUACGGGAGGCAGCAGUGGGGAAUAUUGCACAGUGGGCGGAAGCCUGAUGCAGCAACGCCGUGUGCGGGAUGACGGCCUUCGGGUUGUGAACCGCUUUCGCCUGUGACGAAGCGUGAGUGACGGUAAUGGGUAAAGAAGCACCGGCUAACUACGUG